rnacentral:rRNA from 1 species
UACGUAGGGGGCGAGCGUUGUCCAAAGUUACUGGGCGUAAAGCGCGCGUAGGCGGUCUCUUAAGUCCGGGGUGAAAGGUUCAGCGCUCAACGCGAACAGUGCCCUGGAGACUGGGGGACUUGAGUGUGGGAGGGGGCAGUGGAAUUCCGGGUGUAGCGGUGAAAUGCGCAGAUAUCAGGAGGAACACCGGUGGCGAAGGCGGGUCUCUGGGCCGUUACUGACGCUGAGGAGCGAAAGCGUGGGGAGCGAACAGG